GGGGCUGUGGAUCAAAUGGUAGAAUGCUCGUCUAGCAUGUGUGAGACACUGGGUUCAAUCCUCAGCACCACA
rnacentral:tRNA from 1 species